CCUACGGGGGGCUGCAGUGGGGAAUAUUGGACAAUGGGCGGAAGCCUGAUCCAGCAAUACCGCGUGUGUGAAGAAGGCCUGAGGGUUGUAAAGCACUUUCAAUAGGAAGGAAUACCUAUCCAUUAAUACUGGGUAGACUGACAUUACCUAUACAAGAAGCACCGGCUAACUCCGUGCCAGCAGCCGCGGUAAUACGGAGGGUGCAAGCGUUAAUCGGAAUUACUGGGCGUAAAGCGUGCGUAGGCGGCUCGUUAAGUCAGAUGUGAAAGCCCCGGGCUUAACCUGGGAAUGGCAUUUGAUACUGGCGAGCUAGAGUUGAGUAGAGGGGAGUGGAAUUUCAGGUGUAGCGGUGAAAUGCGUAGAGAUCUGAAGGAACACCAGUGGCGAAGGCGACUCCCUGGACUCAAACUGACGCUGAGGUACGAAAGCGUGGGUAGCAAACAGGAUUAGAUACCCGUGUAGUC
rnacentral:rRNA from 1 species